GCCUGGUUGGCUCAGUCGGUUAAGUAUCUGACUUCAGCUCAGGUCGUGAUCCCGCGGUCCGUGGGUUCGAGCACCACAUCAGGCU
rnacentral:tRNA from 1 species